GGGAAUGUGGCUCAGGGGUAGAGUGCUUGCCUUGCAUGCAUGAGGCCCUGGGUUCGAUUCCUCAGCACCA
rnacentral:tRNA from 1 species